AACGAGAAGAACCUUACCUACUCUUGACAUCCAGAGAACUUAGCAGAGAUGCUUUGGUGCCUUCGGGAACUGUGAGACAGGUGCUGCAUGGCUGUCGUCAGCUCGUGUUGUGAAAUGUUGGGUUAAGUCCCGCAACGAGCGCAACCCUUAUCCUUUGUUGCCAGCGGUCCGGCCGGGAACUCAAAGGAGACUGCCAGUGAUAAACUGGAGGAAGGUGGGGAUGACGUCAAGUCAUCAUGGCCGUUACGAGUAGGGCUACACACGUGCUACAAUGGCGCAUACAAAGAGAAGCGACCUCGCGAGAGCAAGCGGACCUCAUAAAGUGCGUCGUAGUAAGGAUUGGAGUCUGCAACUCGAGGCCAUGAAGUC
rnacentral:rRNA from 1 species